rnacentral:rRNA from 1 species
AUGCAAGUCGAACGAGAAGCUCACUUCGGUGAGUGGAAAGUGGCGGACGGGUGAGUAAUGUGUAGAGAAUCUGCCCUAGAGUGGGGGAUAGCAGUUGGAAACGACUAUUAAUACCCCAUAUGCGCGUAGCUGAGAUGCUAUUCGUGAAAACUCCGGUGCUCUGGGAUGAGUCUGCAUCUGAUUAGCUAGUAGGCGGUGUAAUGGACCACCUAGGCGACGAUCAGUAGCUGGUUUGAGAGGAUGAUCAGCCACAAUGGGACUGAGACACGGCCCAUACUCCUACGGGAGGCAGCAGUAGGGAAUUUUGCGCAAUGGGGGCAACCCUGACGCAGCAACGCCGCGUGAUUGAAGAAGCCCUUCGGGGUGUAAAGAUCUGUCAGUGGGGACGAAACUUGACGGUACCCACAGAGGAAGCAUCGGCUAACUCCGUGCCAGCCGCUGC